UACGAAGGGGGCUAGCGUUGCUCGGAAUCACUGGGCGUAAAGGGUGCGUAGGCGGGUCUUUAAGUCAGGGGUGAAAUCCUGGAGCUCAACUCCAGAACUGCCUUUGAUACUGAAGAUCUUGAGUUCGGGAGAGGUGAGUGGAACUGCGAGUGUAGAGGUGAAAUUCGUAGAUAUUAGGAAGAACACCAGUGGCGAAGGCGGCUCACUGGCCCGGUACUGACGCUGAGGCGCGAAAGCCAGGGGAGCAAACGGG
rnacentral:rRNA from 1 species